rnacentral:rRNA from 1 species
AGUGAACGCUGGCGGUAGGCCUAACACAUGCAAGUCGAACGGCAGCACAGUAAGAGCUUGCUCUUACGGGUGGCGAGUGGCGGACGGGUGAGGAAUACAUCGGAAUCUACUUUUUCGUGGGGGAUAACGUAGGGAAACUUACGCUAAUACCGCAUACGACGUACGGGUGAAAGCAGGGGAUCUUCGGACCUUGCGCGAUUGAAUGAGCCGAUGUCGGAUUAGCUAGUUGGCGGGGUAAAGGCCCACCAAGGCGACGAUCCGUAGCUGGUCUGAGAGGAUGAUCAGCCACACUGGAACUGAGACACGGUCCAGACUCCUACGGGAGGCAGCAGUGGGGAAUAUUGGACAAUGGGCGCAAGCCUGAUCCAGCCAUACCGCGUGGGUGCAGAAGGCCUUCGGGUUGUAAAGCCCUUUUGUUGGGAAAGAUAAGCAGCAGGUUAAUACCCCGCUGUUCUGACGGUACCCAAAGAAUAAGCACCGGCUAACUUCGUG